UACGUAGGGCGCGAGCGUUGUCCGGAAUCACUGGGCGUAAAGCGCACGUAGGCGGACUCUUAAGUCGGUGGUGAAAUCCUGGAGCUCAACUCCAGAACUGCCUUCGAUACUGGGAGUCUCGAGUCCGGGAGAGGUGAGUGGAACUGCGAGUGUAGAGGUGAAAUUCGUAGAUAUUCGCAAGAACACCAGUGGCGAAGGCGGCUCACUGGCCCGGUACUGACGCUGAGGUGCGAAAGCGUGGGGAGCAAACAGG
rnacentral:rRNA from 1 species